GACGAACCGUGCGAACGUUGUUCGGAAUCACUGGGCUUAAAGGGCGCGUAGGCGGGCGGUCAAGUCCGGGGUGAAAUCUUUCGGCUCAACCGGAAAAGGGCCUCGGAUACUGACUGUCUUGAGGAAGGUAGGGGCAUGCGGAACUUCCGGUGGAGCGGUGAAAUGCGUAGAUAUCUGGAGGAACACCGGUGGCGAAGGCGGGUCUCUGGGCCGUAACUGACGCUGAGGAGCGAAAGCGUGGGGAGCGAACAGG
rnacentral:rRNA from 1 species